rnacentral:rRNA from 1 species
CCUACGGGAGGCUGCAGUGAGGAAUAUUGGUCAAUGGACGAGAGUCUGAACCAGCCAAGUAGCGUGAAGGAUGACUGCCCUAUGGGUUGUAAACUUCUUUUAUAUGGGAAUAAAACGUUCCACGUGUGGGAUUUUGUAUGUACCAUAUGAAUAAGGAUCGGCUAACUCCGUGCCAGCAGCCGCGGUAAUACGGAGGAUCCGAGCGUUAUCCGGAUUUAUUGGGUGUAAAGGGAGCGUAGGUGGAUUGGUAAGUCAGUUGUGAAAGUUGGCGGCGCAACCGUAAAAUUGCAGUUGAAACUGUCAGUCUUGAGUACAGUAGAGGUGGGUGGAAUUCGUGGUGUAGCGGUGAAAUGCUUAGAUAUCACGAAGAACUCCGAUUGCGAAGGCAGUUCACUGGACUGCAACUGACACUGAGGCUCGAAAGUGUGGGUAUCAAACAGGAUUAGAUACCCUUGUAGUC